rnacentral:rRNA from 1 species
AAUUGGGGACAAUACCGGAUAGGGCAUCGAUAGCUGGAAUGCGCGAUGUCCAAAAGCUGAGGCGCCCAAGGAUAGGUCUGCGGCCGAUUAGGUUGUUGUUGAUGUAAUGGAUCAACAAGCCUGCAAUCGGUACGGGUUGUGAGAGCAAGAGCCCGGAGAUGGGUUCUGAGAAAAGAACCCAGGUCCUACGGGACGCAUCAGGCGCGAAAACUUUACAAUGUGCGAAAGCACGAUAAGGGAACUCUGAGUGCCUCCUAUGGAGGCUGUUCAGGUGUCUAAAAAGCACUUGAAGUAAGGGCUGGGUAAGACCGGUGCCAGCCGCCGCGGUAACACCGGCAGCCCAAGUGGUAGCCACGAUUAUUGGGUCUAAAGCGUCCGUAGCCGGCCAGGUAAGUUCUUUGGGAAAUUUAACCGCUCAACGGUUAAGCUUUCAGGGAAUACUGCUUGGCUUGGGACCGGGAGAGGUCAGAGGUACUUCAAGGGUAGGGGUGAAAUCCGUUAAUCCUUGAGGGACCACCAGUAGCGAAGGCGUCUGACCAGACCGGGUCCGACGGUGAGGGACGAAGGCUAGGGUCGCGAACCGGAUUAGAUACCCGGGUAGUCCUAGCUGUAAACGAUGCGGGCCAGGUGUUGGCAUUACUGCGAGUGAUGUCAGUGCCGAAGGGAAGCCGUUAAGCCCGCCAUCUGGGGAGUACGGUCGCAAGGCUGAAACUUAA